AAAUUUCAAAUAAUGGGUAUUUUGUGCCCUUUUACAUAUUCCGUUCAUUUACUCUUUAAUGGGUGAAAAAUUACUUGACAAGAAUCGGUCGGCAGUGUUUGGGAAGUGCUUCAAAGUUGUUUCCCGUAAUAUCUAAAUAAGUUAGCAGAAAUGCGGGAACGUCCAAAAGCUGCAGAGUACAUCCCGUGUGAAUGUUCUGCUCUUUACUCUACAAGAAUCUCCAGCGCCAUUUUAGAGGUCCAAAACAAACUCAAUCCCUGAUGGAUGAAGAGGAUGCAUGGAGAUAUUGAUCGAAAUAGUAUAUUUUAUUAUGCAUUGAAUAAAUUUGUUUAUAUUUAUGA
rnacentral:lncRNA from 1 species